UGUAGGCUUUCAGAAGGUCCGGAAAAACGAUUUCCCGAACGCAUUUUCCGAUGUAUCGUGAACACAUUGUUGCAUGGGGAAGUGAACGUUUCGAUUGCGAAUGAAAAUAUCUCUGGCCGCGCAGCUGAAGACGAAGAUAGACGAGCCGAGAAAAAUGAGCCAUUAAAAAAUAUUGCGAAGGAGAGAGAGGAAGAGAUUGAAAAAAAGGAAGCGAGUUAAUACCGAGCGCCUCCCUCUCCAGCCUCGACGCUUUUUUCUCACCCCCCUCGCCAUCUGUUGAUUCCGCUCAAGUUCCGGGCGGAACGUCACUUCUUGCGGCUUCUCAGGCUCAUCCAGUAAACUCGAAAGAUCCAACCGCGGAGACGGGAUACAUGGAAAAUUCGGCCUUUUUCAAUGCAUUUUCGUUCAGGCCUCGAUCGAAGCGAAAUUGUGCAAGUUCAGUACGGAUUUGACUCUCUCGCUGAGCCACUGCUCAGCAAGCGAAAAAUACACUCGAAAAUUCAAGCCCAAGCCACCUCCGGACACGCGAACGCACCCCUGCCACUGGAGCACCCCCUUAAGGCUGGAACCUCCGAAUUAAGGACUCGACCUCUCCAACUACCUUUUCACACUCCUCCAAAGCAUCCUAACGAGGAUUAAGGCUUUUUGAACACAAUUUGAGGCGGAUUAACGUUCAUACAAAACGGCUUCACCGGAACCAACAGCCCUGACGGAUUAAGCACAUCGUUUAUUCAAUCUCGCCUCGGGCAAUUGGCCGCUCAAGACUGAUCGUGCUCUCCAUUGCUCCAACGGCUCAUGAUCUUGGGAUUUUGGAACCCGUGGAAAAUUCCUGCACCCUGGUCUGCAUGAGGAACGAGAAGGAGCGAAAAAAUUUCGAAAUUUCAAUCCUUCGGACCCUCGACCCUUAAUCGCACGAUUUUUUUUAUCCUACAACCACUUUUUUAGCUCCAAAUACAGAUUUUUCGACUCCACGUGGUCCAGAAAUUCGCAAGUUGAAUGAAAACAUGAAACGUUGGAAAAGCUGUUUUUUUAAUAAACCAAUCUAAUUUAAUGAAA